rnacentral:lncRNA from 1 species
CCGCAGUCACAGCUGCAGGACCUCUCUGGACCAGCUCAGUCGCAGACUGCGCAACCACCAGACCACUGCGGCAAACAAGCCCAGCUGAGCCAAGCAAUAGCGAUGGCCGACCCCGAGAAGCAGGGACCCGCUGAGAGCCGCGCCGAGGACGAGGUAAUGGAGGGCGCUCAGGGUGGCGAGGAUGCAGCAACCGGUGACAGUGCCACUGCACCCGCGGCCGAGGAGCCCCAGGCCCCCGCGGAGAAUGCGCCCAAGCCCAAAAAUGACUUUAUCGAGAGCUUGCCCAAUCCCGUCAAGUGCCGGGUUCUGGCGCUCAAAAAGCUGCAGAAGCGCUGCGAUAAGAUCGAGGCGAAAUUUGACAAGGAAUUCCAGGCUCUGGAGAAGAAGUACAAUGAUAUCUACAAGCCCCUACUCGCCAAGAUCCAGGAACUCACCGGAGAGAUGGAGGGCUGCGCGUGGACCCUGGAGGGAGAGGAUGAUGAAGACGACGAGGAAGAAGAAGAUGAGGAGGAGGAAGAAGAGGAGGCUGCAGCUGGCGCAACUGGGGGUCCCGACUCUGCCGAGAAGUGAGCACAGCAGCUGACAGCGCAGAGGAAGAGGAACCCAAGAACGACGUCAUCUUUAAGACUUUUGCUUUUGCAAACCCAGACAUCAGCUUUACACUCCAGAGGAGACAAGGCAUGGAGGAAGGCUGGACUGACAGCAUUUACUGUUUAUGUGGCUAGAAAAACUGCCAUUUCAAGUUGUGAAAAAUGUUUUGAAUAUUUGAAUUUACAGAAAGAACACGGUUCCAAAAAUAAGGGUGUAUUCCAUGUAUAAUAUUGUCAACACGUGUUCAUCUGUAAUGGUCUCAUGUUAUCUGUUUUCUUGGUAGUGUUUGUUUACAAAAUCGUAAAAAUUACCCCAAAUGUUUUAAGUAUUAAAUUCCCUUAUAGCAUUUUAGAAAUAUAAUUUACUUGAAGAGAUGUAGAAUGUAGCAAUUCUGUAAAGCAUGUGUAUCCAGUGUUGCCUAGUUUGACUUUGUGAAGUCUUUUUGUCUUGUAGCUUUUAGCAAGUAGCUGUGAAAACCAUCAGAACUCCUCAAUGAAGCUAAUGUUUGGAAAAAAGUAUAUACUUGAAGAACCAACCCAAGUGUGUAUCCCCAACCCCAGCUCAGAAAUAGGAAGGAUUUAAGUUUGCUUGUAUUAGCUGUGCCUUCAUUAUUUUGCUAUGUAAAUGUGACUUAUUAAAUGGUGCAUAAUCAAAUUUUAUUGCUUGAGGACAAAAAUGGCAUAAAGGGAAGACUUUUGGGAAAAGACAUUUAAUGUAAAGGCCUUUAGCUUCUUUGUGGGUUUUGAACUAUCUGUGAAUCAAUGUUCUGUAAAGAAACACAAACGUAAAGUUGUUUACCACUGUGGUGUUAACAAAACAGUAUUUUCAAAAAUAAAAAAAACUUGUUAUUCUGA